AUACGAGGCAAUUGGUCUUCGAGUAGGGAUAAAUUACUCUAAAAGAAAUGAAUCCUAGAUAAUUUUCCCUUCAAGUCAAGCGUCUUGU
rnacentral:pre_miRNA from 1 species